rfam:Strongyloides papillosus strain LIN genome assembly, scaffold: SPAL_contig0000013
GCCGGGAGUCGUGACGGGCUCUUGUAAACCAGCUUCUAGGUGGCUUAGGAUGGGGAAGGUCUGCCUAUCGGGUUGACACUUGUCUUCCUGGUGUCGUUGACCGAGUGUCCGUGCCAAGCGUAGCGUCGAUAGACCAUCAGUGGGGGAGCCCGUUGGUGAUCGGUCGUAGGUGGUUUACUGCCUAGUAAAGAGAGAUGGAUGGCUCAGGCCCGUGAGGGAGCAGGCAAAAGUCUCCGCGCUAUGACAGUGGCCGGAUGGCACACGCGAGGCAUUGGGUUUCAUGUGCCGGUAGUAUAUGGUCCCACUCAUUCUUUU